CCCCUCUCAGGGUCACACCUGGAGAGUUUCCAGUACUCUACCAGUCUUGGCUAUGGGAGGGAGAGGCAAGCAGAGGCAUCCCCAUUCCAUUCUUAGCUUGGGCAAUGGCUAGCGAGUGGAAAGCAAUCUGCUAUGAGU
rnacentral:snoRNA from 1 species